AGCGGGGCCCAUCCCGUAAGGCUAAAUACUCCCGAGAGACCGAUAGCGAACCAGUACCGUGAGGGAAAGGUGAAAAGAACCCCGAGCAGGGGAGUGAAAUAGACCCUGAACCCGUCUGCCUACAAGCGGUCGGAGCAUCGUCAAGAUGUGACGGCGUGCCUUUUGCAUAAUGAACCUACGAGUUACCUUCCCCGGCAAGGUUAAGUACCUAAGGUACGGAGCCGAAGCGAAAGCGAGUCUGAAGAGGGCGGCCAGUCGGGGGGGGUAGACGCGAAACCGAGUGAUCUACCCUUGGCCAGGUUGAAGGUUGGGUAACACCAACUGGAGGACCGGAUGGGUAAGCGUUGAAAAGCUUUCCAAUGAGCUGAGGGUAGGGGUGAAAGGCUAAUCAAACUCGGAGAUAGCUCGUACUCCCCGAAAUGCAUUUAGGUGCAGCCUCUUUAUAGUAUAUCGUGAGGUAGAGCGACUGAUUGGAUGCGAGGGCUUCACCGCCUAUCAAGUCCAGAUAAACUCCGAAUGCGCGAUAUAUAUUUAAAGGGAGUGAGGGCGCGGGUGCUAAGGUCCGUGUCCGAGAGGAGAAGAAUCCAGACCACCGGCUAAGGCCCCCAAAUGAUCGUU
rnacentral:rRNA from 1 species